rnacentral:misc_RNA from 1 species
AUUUUUGAUGCACACAGUUUCAGACUGAAGCACUGAACCUGAAUCUGGUCAGUUUGGAUUAUAGGAAAUAUUUGGACUAUACAUGGGAAUCUUUGUACAGAAGUUUAAUUGGCUGAUGAAUACUUUAAUUGUCUUAUUCUCAACCAGGAAAAUUAUGGUUAUCCGUCACCAACUUAUGCUUUAAUCUUUUUAUUCUUAAUGUUUCAGCAUUCUCAGCUUUCAGGGGG